rnacentral:rRNA from 1 species
CACGUAGGGCGCGAGCGUUGUCCGGAAUUAUUGGGCGUAAAGAGCGUGUAGGCGGCCAUACAGGUCAGCUGUGAAAACUCGAGGCUCAACCUCGAGACGUCGGUUGAAACCGUAUGGCUAGAGUCCGGAAGAGGAGAGUGGAAUUCCCGGUGUAGCGGUGAAAUGCGCAGAUAUCGGGAAGAACACCCGUGGCGAAGGCGGCUCUCUGGGACGGUACUGACGCUGAGACGCGAAAGCGUGGGGAGCGAACAGG